rnacentral:rRNA from 1 species
CCUACGGGACGCAGCAGUGGGGGAUAUUGCACAAUGGGGGAAACCCUGAUGCAGCGAGGCCGCGUGGGUGAAGAAGCGCCUCGGCGCGUAAAGCCCUGUCAGCAGGGAAGAAAAUGACGGUACCUGAAGAAGAAGCCCCGGCUAACUACGUGCCAGCAGCCGCGGUAAUACGUAGGGGGCAAGCGUUAUCCGGAUUUACUGGGUGUAAAGGGGGCGCAGACGGCGAUGCAAGCCAGGAGUGAAAGCCCGGGGCCCAACCCCAGGACUGCUCUUGGAACUGCGUGGCUAGAGUGCAGGAGGGGCGG